rnacentral:rRNA from 1 species
AUUGAACGCUAGCGGGAUGCUUUACACAUGCAAGUCGAACGGCAGCGCGGACUUCGGUCUGGCUGCGAGUGGCGAACGGGUGAGUAAUGUAUCGGAACGUGCCCAGUAGCGGGGGAUAACUACGCGAAAGCGUAGCUAAUACCGCAUACGCCCUACGGGGGAAAGCAGGGGAUCGUAAGACCUUGCACUCUUGGAGCGGCCGAUAUCGGAUUAGCUAGUUGGUGAGGUAACGGCUCACCAAGGCGACGAUCCGUAGCUGGUUUGAGAGGACGACCAGCCACACUGGGACUGAGACACGGCCCAGACUCCUACGGGAGGCAGCAGUGGGGAAUUUUGGACAAUGGGGGCAACCCUGAUCCAGCCAUCCCGCGUGUGCGAUGAAGGCCUUCGGGUCGUAAAGCACUUUUGGCAGGAAAGAAACGUCGCGGGCUAAUACCCCGUGGAACUGACGGUACCUGCAGAAUAAGCACCGGCUAACUACGUG